GUCCGUCGUUACUGUUAGUGACUGUGACUGCUUUGACUGCUUACUGUAAUAAACUGUGCACUGUGCUGUAAUUUAGUCAAUCUUCGGCGACUGUCUAAAAAUAUUUAAUUAUAACAACUGUACUAUUUUUGUAAUUUUAAGCCGUAAGGUAUUAAUUUUCAACUAUGUCGCUUUCGAAACCAUGUGAUGAUCAUGAUAAAAGCACUGCAGAUAAUUUGAAAACUUUAUGGGUUAUUUCACAAAAUUAGAGAAAGGAAAUGAAGCGAAAUGUUCAUUGUGUUCAAGUAAGCUUAAAAUAAGUAAAGGUUCUAACAAAGGUUUAAAAAUCCAUUUGAAAAAAAAAAACAUUGCAUCGAUCUAAGCUCUACGAAUAGACAAUUAAAACGUCAUUACUCCGAUUUGGUUCCUAAAGCGUCCACAUCAAAAACUGAGAACGAGCCAAUGGAAAUUAUUUGUGGACAAAAUAUUAUACCCAAAAAAAAAUUUAAACCUAUUUACAGUUAUUUCAAAAAGGAAAGUAAUAUGGAAAUGGAACCCAUGGUGUCCAGAAUGGUGUGCAAAGAUGGUUUCGCGCUCAGUACAUUUUGUACAUCUAAAGAUUUGAGAUUUUUAUUUUCAAAUAGGUGAUUCGAACUCCCACAUUCGCCAAACACAAUUAGAUCUAUAGUAAAAAAUUUUGCUACCUCCGUGCAGUCUAACAUGAUGAUUGAGUUUGAAUCUCUCAAGAAACAAAAGCACAAGUUUGCUUUAACAUUUGAUGAGUGGACAUCGCAAAAAAAUCACAGAUAUUUAAACCUGAAUGUACACCUCAAAGAAACA
rnacentral:lncRNA from 1 species